rnacentral:rRNA from 1 species
UGUUGACGUUACCAAACUGUUGCCUCGGCGGGAUCUCUGCCCCGGGUGCGUCGCAGCCCCGGACCAAGGCGCCCGCCGGAGGACCAACCAAAACUCUUAUUGUAUACCCCCUCGCGGGUUUUUUUAUAAUCUGAGCCUUCUCGGCGCCUCUCGUAGGCGUUUCGAAAAUGAAUCAAAACUUUCAACAACGGAUCUCUUGGUUCUGGCAUCGAUGAAGAACGCAGCGAAAUGCGAUAAGUAAUGUGAAUUGCAGAAUUCAGUGAAUCAUCGAAUCUUUGAACGCACAUUGCGCCCGCCAGUAUUCUGGCGGGCAUGCCUGUCCGAGCGUCAUUUCAACCCUCGAACCCCUCCGGGGGGUCGGCGUUGGGGAUCGGCCCUGCCUUGGCGGUGGCCGUCUCCGAAAUACAGUGGCGGUCUCGCCGCAGCCUCUCCUGCGCAGUAGUUUGCACACUCGCAUCGGGAGCGCGGCGCGUCCACAGCCGUUAAACACCCAACUUCUGAAAUGUUGACCUCGGAUCAGGUAGGAAUACCCGCUGAACUUAAGCAUAUCAAA